UCUAGCAAUGUCUGAAGUCUUUUUCAGUUGUCACAACUGGAAUCUACAGGUGUUUAAAGGGUGGAGACCAGAGAUGCUAUUAAACAUCCUACAGGGCAUUACAAACGAACUGCAGAAAUACAAAGAAUCAUAAGAAUCUACUAUGUAAAAUGAUAUGCCAACAAGUUGGAUAACCCAGAAGAAAAGGACAAAUUCCUAGACAUAUACAGACCCCGUCAGAACAGAAGAGCAAGAGAAACCAAGGAGAAGAGACCAAGAAGAAUGAGAAGAGAUGAAGGUGAAGAGACAGAACCUUCUGAGCUACUCCUUCCCUGCUAAAUCCCAGGCACAUGCUCCAGAUUCCUUAGGCAAAGGAAGAAAUGAAAGGAGAGAAAGAGACCAAAAUUUUAAACUCUAUUAAAAAGGACUGCACUGAUAUUUAUACCCCAAAGAACCAAUGAUGCCAUGGGAUCUAACUAAGAUAUUAACAGAUAU
rnacentral:lncRNA from 10 species